rnacentral:rRNA from 1 species
CCUACGGGUGGCAGCAGUGGGGAAUAUUGGUCAAUGGCGGGAACCCUGAUCCAGCGACGCCGCGUGAGUGAAGAAGUAUUUCGGUAUGUAAAGCUCUAUCAGUAGGGAAGAAAAUGACGCUACCUGACUAAGAAGCCCCGGCUAACUACGUGCCCGCAGCCGCGGUAAUACGUAGGGGGCAAGCGUUAUCCGGAUUUACUGGGUGUAAAGGGAGCGUAGACGGUGCAGCAAGUCUGAUGUGAAAGGUCGGGGCCCAACCCCGGGACUGCAUUGGACACUGUUGAACUGGAGUACAGGAGAGGUAAGCGGAAUGCCUAGGGUAGCGGUGAAAUGCGUAGAUAUCAGGAGGAACACCGGCGGCGAAGGCAGCCUGCUGGACCGCGACUGACGUUGAGGCACGAAAGCGUGGGGAGCGAACAGGAUUAGAUACCCGAGUAGUC